rnacentral:rRNA from 1 species
UACAGAGGUCUCGAGCGUUGUUCGGAUUCAUUGGGCGUAAAGGGUGCGUAGGUGGCGCUGUAAGUCGGGUGUGAAAUUUCGGAGCUUAACUCCGAAACUGCAUUCGAUACUGCGGUGCUUGAGGACUGGAGAGGAGACUGGAAUUCAUGGUGUAGCAGUGAAAUGCGUAGAGAUCAUGAGGAAGACCAGUGGCGAAGGCGGGUCUCUGGACAGUUCCUGACACUGAGGCACGAAGGCCAGGGGAGCAAACGGG